GAUUUGGAGCUCAGUUGGUUAGAGUGUGGCACUGAUAAUGCCAAGGUCGCAGGUUUGAUCCCCGUAAAGGAUA